rnacentral:rRNA from 1 species
GACGAACGCUGGCGGCGUGCUUAACACAUGCAAGUCGAACGGAAAGGCCCUUCUUUUGUUGGUUGCUCGGGUGGCGAACGGGUGAGUAACACGUAAGUAGCCUGCCCUUUACUUUUGGAUACCUUCAGGUAACUCGGGCUAAUACCGGAUAUGAGCUCCUGCUGCAUGGUGGUGGUUGGAAAGUUUCGGCGGUUGUGGAUGGACUCGCGGCUUAUCAGCUUGUUGGUGGGUUAGUGGCUUACCAAGUCUUUGACGGGUAGCCGGCCUGGGAGGGUGACCGGCCACAUGGGGACUGAGAAAGGGCCAAGACUCCACCGGGAGGAAGAGGGGGGGAAUAUGGAAAAAGGGGCGGAAGCCUGAUGAAGCAACGCCGGGGGCGGGAUAAGGGCCUUCGGGUGUUAAACGGCUUUCGCAGGUGACGAAGCGGGAGUGACGGUAAUGGGUAAAGAAGCACCGGCUAACUACGUG